AGGAAAUGCAUCCAGCGGAAAGGAUCACAAUUCAAGUUCAUCUUAAUGGAAGCAUAACACGAAGAACAAAAAGUAGCUUAUCAUGUGCAGCGGGCUGAAGAGCAGAUGGGUUUGAAGGAGAAGUCCCUCCUGCAGAACACAAUGCUCGUGAGGAUAAACCAGCCACCUGCUUGGAUCCCCUCCCUUCUCGUAGGUGGGAGAACCUACUAGAAUUACUUGGAAACUUGUUCUCUACUACCAAAGGGGGCUCACUUCCCAGCUGAAUACCUUCCUGGUGCAGGAGUUUAUGAGCCACACAGGCGAGGUGCAGGACAGAGAAGCCAACUGUGGGAACAGCAGUGUCAAGGAUGGAAAAGUAAAGAACCUAUUCUCAGAAGAACAAAAAGACCAAGUGAUGUGGAAAACACAGGAAAGCAAUACAAAGUGGCCUGGAAAGAAAGGACUGUGUCUCUUUGACUGGAAUACCUAGACCCAGAGAAUCCUGUGGGAAUGACAUCGUGUGAUCGCAGAGGCUAAGCUGCAAAGAUGCUAUGUACUUCUUCCUUGUUUCUUGGAUCACUUGCUCUCAGAACUCAGCCUCUGUAGUGUGAGAAAUUCAGUGUGGCCCGUGGAAAGACUAGCGUAAGGAGGAGCUGAGUCUCAGCCUGAGCAGCACCAACUCGCCAGCCACAGGAGAGAGCCAUCUUGGAUAGAGUUGUUCUCACUGAUGCUGUAGGAACAGAGAAGCGUGUGUAUGCCAAGUUGCCAAGCCCUGAACGGGCAUAUUCAUAGAGCAAAA